ensembl:lncRNA novel transcript
CUUAAAGGUAGUCUAUGAAUAGAGAUGCUGCUGCUGCUUUCACUUGUGUGGUAGAAGGACUUUGUUUACCUACAGAGUCAUAAAGAGGAACGUCACUUGGAAAUUCACUUGGAUGCCACUUUAAUCAAAUAGUGUAAAUAGAUCCACAGAAGAAGAAGUAUAAUGAACCUGAAAUUGCUAAACCCCUUUUAAGGAAAAUUUUCCUAGCAUAAUAUAUGAAGUCUUGGUGGGGACCAAAAAGCUGAAGAAAUCAGAGAUAAGUGCUGCACAUUCUAAGGAAAGGUGCAAGACAUCUGCG